UGCUGGUGCAUCGAACUGUUGACGCUCAAUCUGCUUCAUUUCUUCCCCAAGUGAAUAUUUUCCUUGUGGGUUUGUGCGGUAUCCUGUGUUGCUUACCAAUGGAAUGGUAAUUCGAUGGCUUUGUUAGACUCAUCCGCCUUGUUCCCAAAUGGGUGCGAGGUGGACGUGAGGUGAGCCUUGUGUUCCCAACAUGCUAAGUGCUUUGGCAUUUGGUUGUUGCGGCCCAUAAGGUCUUCACUUGUUMUCUUGGAUGCGGAAUUCUAUGUGUGGGCGCGCGAGGUCUUGACCUCGACUCGUCAAAACACUGUGUUUUCACUCGAAUGACCGCUGCACCUGUCUUGAUCCUCCCGACCGAGGCCUCACAAUGGGGCUUACCGGACGAGGGGGGAACAUAUGGGUGUCAGCGUCAAAGAGGAAAGC
rnacentral:misc_RNA from 1 species